CAGGUGGUUUGUUAAGUCAGAUGUGAAAGACCCGGGGCUCAACCUCGGAAUUUGCAUUUGAAAACUGGCAAACUAGAGUACUGUAGAGGGGGGUAGAAUUUCAGGUGUAGCGGUGAAAUGCGUAGAGAUCUGAAGGAAUACCGGUGGCGAAGGCGGCCCCCUGGACAGAUACUGACACUCAGAUGCGAAAGCGUGGGGAGCAAACAGGAUUAGAUACCCCUCGGUAG
rnacentral:rRNA from 1 species